rnacentral:rRNA from 1 species
CCUACGGGAUGCAGCAGUGGGGAAUAUUGGACAAUGGGGGGAACCCUGAUCCAGCGACGCCGCGUGAGUGAAGAAGUAUUUCGGUAUGUAAAGCUCUAUCAGCAGGGAAGAAAGAAAUGACGGUACCUGACUAAGAAGCCCCGGCUAAAUACGUGCCAGCAGCCACGGUAAUACGUAGGGGGCACGCGUUCUCCGGAUUUACUGGGUGUAAAGGGUGCGUAGACGGUUACGCAAGUCUGGAGUGAAAGGCGGGGGCCCAAACCCCGGACUGCUUUGGAAACUGUAUAACUGGAGUGCAGGGGAGGUAAGUGGAAUUCCUAGUGUAGCGGUGAAAUGCGUAGAUAUUAGGAGGAACACCAGUGGCGAAGGCGGCUUACUGGACUGUAACUGACGUUGAGGCUCGAAAGCGUGGGGAGCAAACAGGAUUAGAUACCCUUGUAGUC